AUUUUUCCCAGUUUCCCAGAAGAAUCUUGUCUUCUAAUUCCAAUUAAGCAUUCUGACACUGAAGGCUCUUAGUUCCAUUCUAUAGCUGCAUUCUUUUUUAUGUUCUCCCACAUUUCUGUCAUAUAAUGGACAUGCCCCACAUCUAAGGAGGAUUUCUGUAGGCAACUUUUGCUGCAGAUGAGAGAGUUGAAGCUUAAAAGGCCAAAUGACUUUCCCAGACACACACCAUCAGUCAGUGAGGGAUGCGAGACUUGGAUCCAGAUGUUACCUGCAAUUCUGGAGUCCAUGUAAAACUUUCAAAUAUUCAACUUUUGGUCUUUAGUCUUUGCUUCUUUCCCUCGUGUCACUAGAUAACCAUUUCUCUACAUUUUUAAAAUUCUGCCAUUCCUGUUAACAUAUUUAUAUGCCCUAGUAUUAUCUGCAACAAUGUACAAACCUAAAUCAUUUGAUAUAUACACUGCUAAAGAAGGCAAGAAAAAU
rnacentral:lncRNA from 1 species